GGAGAGUUGUCCGAGCUGGUCGAAGGAGCACGAUUGGAAAUCGUGUAAACGUCAAAAGCGUUUCGAGGGUUCGAAUCCCUUGCUCUCCGCCA
rnacentral:tRNA from 4 species